CUGCGAGUUCGCGGGAGAGUAGGUUAUUGCCAGGGUUUUUAUUUUUAUACUUUAAAUUUUGAUUUUAUUUUUGUGUUAUUUAAAUAACAUAAAAAAUAAAAUAUAUAUUGACAUGGAUUAAACAAAGAUAUAUAUUAUUUUAUGUUGCACAAACAAAUUGGCAAAAUAGAGAUGGAAGAUAAAAAUAUGGUCAAAGUAAUAAGAGUCUAUGGUGAAUGCCUCGGA
rnacentral:misc_RNA from 1 species